UACGGAGGGUGCAAGCGUUAAUCGGAAUUACUGGGCGUAAAGCGCGCGUAGGUGGUUUGUUAAGUUGGAUGUGAAAUCCCCGGGCUCAACCUGGGAACUGCAUUCAAAACUGACAAGCUAGAGUAUGGUAGAGGGUGGUGGAAUUUCCUGUGUAGCGGUGAAAUGCGUAGAUAUAGGAAGGAACACCAGUGGCGAAGGCGACCACCUGGACUGAUACUGACACUGAGGUGCGAAAGCGUGGGGAGCAAACAGG
rnacentral:rRNA from 1 species